UACGUAGGGUCCGAGCGUUGUCCGGAAUUACUGGGCGUAAAGAGCUCGUAGGUGGUUUGUCGCGUUGUUCGUGAAAACUCACAGCUUAACUGUGGGCGUGCGGGGCGAUACGGGGCAGACUAGAGUACUGCAGGGGGAGACUGGAAUUCCUGGUGUAGCGGGUGGAAUGCGCAGAUAUCAGGGGGAAGAACCGUGCCGGUAGGGCGGGUAGCGGGG
rnacentral:rRNA from 1 species